rnacentral:tRNA from 2 species
GUCCGGGUGGCGGAAUUGGUAGACGCGCUAGCUUGAGGUGCUAGUGACCUGUUGAGGGUCGUGGAGGUUCAAGUCCUCUCUCGGACACCA